rnacentral:rRNA from 1 species
AUUGAACGCUGGCGGCAUGCCUUACACAUGCAAGUCGAACGGCAGCGGGGGAGAAGCUUGCUUUUCCUGCCGGCGAGUGGCGAACGGGUGAGUAAUACAUCGGAACGUGCCCUGUAGUGGGGGAUAACUAGUCGAAAGAUUAGCUAAUACCGCAUACGACCUGAGGGUGAAAGUGGGGGACCGCAAGGCCUCAUGCUAUAGGAGCGGCCGAUGUCUGAUUAGCUAGUUGGUGGGGUAAAGGCCUACCAAGGCGACGAUCAGUAGCUGGUCUGAGAGGACGCUCAGCCACACUGGGACUGCGACACGGCCCAGACUCCUACGGGAGGCAGCAGUGGGGAAUUUUGGACAAUGGGCGAAAGCCUGAUCCAGCAAUGCCGCGUGUGUGAAGAAGGCCUUCGGGUUGUAAAGCACUUUUGUCCGGAGAGAAAUGGCUCUGGUUAAUACCUGGGGUCGAUGACGGUACCGGAAGAAUAGGGACCGGCUAACUACGUGCCAGCCGCCGCCGUAA